UAACUUUGUGUUUGAGGGGCAUAUAUUUGACAGUCAUAAUGAGAGAGGUCAGCACAGUUAUUAUUAAUGAAUGGCCACAGGCUGCUUGUCUUCGUCGCCAAAUGAACACGCUUAUCGAAGAGGCAGAAGACAAAGAAUCCUGGAGAACGUUACAUUCGUCACCAAGCCAAUUGUUCCAUUUCGUGAGAGUCCACAUCUAAAAUUAUUCAACCUUCAGUGAAAAGUAGCUGCAUUACCAAAAUGCACAAACAAGCAUGUUAUAAACAAAAUAAUUUAAGAGCUAAAUGCUUCUAGUAUCUACUGGAGUCUUAUUGUUCAAGUCCUUCAGAUGAGCAUCUUUAGUUCUUCCAGUAGAAUCCAGCAGGAAUCAACCCUCACGGGGAAUUGCCUUCUGGUUCAUUCGUGUUUUUUGUUUUUUUUUGUUUUGUUUUUUAAUCAUUCUAUAAAUAGAGUUUAAGUUAAAUUACCAUGAUAGCCAUGCAAAUGUUAUUUUAAAACUUCGUCUCAAACAAAGCUUUGGUGGACUUUGGAGGAAAUUACAUCAAAGCUUCAGGUUCCUCACAGACGGCAUGACAUAUUUUCAUACUUUUGCCUACACUUGAUUCAAUUCUUCCAGCUCUUCACACACUGCAGGCUUUCAGCACGAGAGCUGUGGUGUUCUUUUCCACGUCCGCUUCAUUCUCCUCUUCCAGACGCAACUGACAGAAAAGAUCCUCUUUUGACUAAUCACUUAUGACAGCAGAACCCUAAAACCUCCGACUUAUGCAUUUUGCUGCAAGCAAAGUGGAGCUGAUUUUUCUUGUGUUUUGGGGGCGAGUAGUGCCAUUCAUAUUUAGUCUGCUGCCAUCAAGACUUGUUGCACGUCCGUAAUAUCUGCCUCUUUGGAAAUCUGACGGCAGCCAUUGACAGCUUUAUCCAUCAACCAUGUUCAAACACAGUAGCUUAGUCACUGUUGCUCUUUUAACUUUGCACAAGCAAACUAU